AUUCAUGACACGUUAGAACGUCUAGAUAUCGUAGGAACGGUGGCGAUGCAAUUUUUCAUUUUAAACUUACCAUACUUAUCCAUACGUCCGAAUCCUCUUAUGCAAUGAUAUCGGGUCGGUGGGAAAGUAAUGUCGGUUUCACGAGAAAGAGAAUAUUUCAUAAAAUAGAUUUGAAGUCGUUCAUCUUACCAAAAUCAAAAUCGAUAUAAAAGCGAUAUAUAAUUUUCUACACGCAUAAAAAGGAAAUGGAGGAAAAAAAAAAAUUGUGCAGUGGAUUAGAGAAAUUAUUAUACAACCGCCUCUAUGGACGAUUCUUCGAUUCGGUCUUCUGGAUAUUUUAUUCGUUUUAUUUUUCCUAUGUAUAUAUAUAUAUAUAUAUACACAUAUAUAUUUGAUCAUGUCGUUACAUAAAUGUGCAAUUAGUGGCGCAGCUCGUGCGAACGAGGAAGCGAACGAGACUAAUAAAAAAUAAUAGUUUUAAAUACAUUUCUAUUUCGCUUUUAGAUCGGUCAAAUCUUUGUUCGAGUUCGAGUUCCGUUCACCUUUUCAUUCGUGUUCGCGAAAUAUUCACGUCGUCCAAAACCAAGGUCAAAAAUACGACGAACCAUUCGUUCGGCACGAUGCCUACUGCGCCAUUGCAAAUGCUCAUUAUUAACUAUCAUCGAUCUUUUCCAGCGGUGAUCCGGUUUCAGAUGUUUUUCUUUUUUCUUUUUGUAACAUUUUUGAAAACAGCACGAUACAAAAAAUGUUCCACUUAACAAUUGGAUUGGCACACGUGUUAAUUCAACGAAUCAUUGAAAAUCUUCCCUUCUCAAAUAAUUCUUCGGAAUGGGCUAUAAAAAGUAAAUCGAUUAACUUAAAUAUAUUCUUGUUAUAUUGUUGUUAUUUUAUAAUAAUAUAAUAUAAUAUUUAAUAAUAGAAAUUUGUAAAGUUUCCUGAUGAAAACAAUAUUGAACAUUUCCUUGGUAAAAAUACGAAUCAAAGUGUACAAAUACAAUUGUAUCAUUUCUUAAGUGACAAGAUUUAAAAGAAGAGACUGCAUAUGGACACGUGCAUCGUCGCUAUAAUAUUAUCACCGCGAUAAUAAACAGCGUGAGCAUCUGGAAGAACUGGCAAAUAUUGCGGGGAUACUUUUCAGAUAGAAAGAGAACAUUGAAUACGCCGUGUGUUGGCUGACGUCGCGAGAACGAGAAACGUAUUCGUUUCGCUGCAUUAAAACAAUAUAUUUCUACUCCUUUCUCUCGAAAGAAUCUCAUAUUCAUCCAAUCACACGGUAUUCUCGAAAAAACGAAAUCUUUCUGACUCAUCGUUACCGAUCGUAUCGAAUGUUCUCAUUUAACAGCAAAAA